ACUGCUGAUCCACACAAAUACAUCCUAAUCACAGGAGGCCAACCAACCUGCCAACCCAGCUCUCCAGGUGAUUCAAAUGAAGAAAUCAGAAGAAAAGAGUCUGUUUCAGGUGCUGCAGAUGUGUGAAGUAACGAUCCAGCCAAAAUGGUGUCUGUGGCAAAAUAGCAGGGAGAAAUUUCCUAAGGAUCUCUGAAUAUGUCCUUGUGCUGCUUCAGACCCCUUCCAUGGAAAAGAGCUGUGAUUCCAGGAUGGAAGACAAGAAAAAUCUGCUGCCUAAAGGGAAGCAGCAAUCUGUGAGCUGCCUGCCUGCGAGAGAACAGACAGACAGUCAAGAUCCCUGUACUAGUGAGUGCCCAGAAGUCUGCUGCCACUGCAGGGCAUUGGUGCCUGGCAUACACUUGGUUAAGGCCUGAACUGCUGCCUGCUACACCUCUGAAAAGGAAUGAGAACAAACUUGUCAGCAGCUGUCUCCAGUGGUGCUUGUGGGUUUGCUUUGUGUUGCAGGCUCGUAUUGUGAGACCAGACUGCAGAUGUUUUCAGGGACAGUGUAAAUACUACAGCAGUUAGAUCAGCUCCAUUUUUCAAGUUUCUCUAAUGUUUUAUAUUCUGACACGUGAAAUUGGCUUUUAAUUGCUCCUAUGCAGUGGGUCUGUUUUCCUUUGCCUAGAGAGAAUAAAUGGAGACUGGAGCCUCUAAAGUGGUCUGAUAUCAGCCUGAGCUGAGGGACACAAACACACAGCAGGAAUGGCAAAAGAAUGACCCUGGUUUCGUUACACAGGAAGGCUCUAAGAACUUAAACUGUACAAUAUGUAUAAUGUACUAAGUCCAAUAUCUUAGCAACUGAAUUCAACAUCAUAACUGGAAUCAGUAAGAAAACAUAACAAUUGGAUUUAAAAUGAAUCCAUACCUCUGAAGUUGCAUACACACAAUCUAUAUACCAUAAUACAUUAAUAGGAAGACUGCAUUUUGUCCUUAGGAUUAUAAAUUGUUCACUUGGAAGUGCUCGAAGUUAGCAGCAGAUAGAAAGCAAUGAUAAAGUUCAGAAAAUGUGGGUCUCCAGGAUUAAUAUGCUUUAAAAUAUACCUAAUGUAUACUCUGAGUUCAGCACGUGUUGUUCACAUGGAAUAUUUUUAGUGGGAUGGGACAUUCCUCAAGAUACUGAGAGAAUGAGGUAGUCAUCACUCUCGACCAGAAUUCUUGUAUACAGAAAUUAAAUGAACUUGGCAAAACUCUUGUGCUACAACUAUGGCUACACGGUCAUUUUAACAGCACAUGCAUUUGUGAGAAAGAAAAUUAAUCUGAAGUUCUGCAUCACUACAGAGGAGUUUGAUGGCAAAUAAAGCCUCAGACAAUGAAUGUCUGUGAAUGAAAAAGAAUUACUUAUUAAAAAAUGUUCGCUGAAUUGUUUCUAUUAGCACUACACAUGAUUUUCUGAAAGUGCAACGAAAUUUUGGCUGCAAAAAUGAAACAUGAAAUUCCCACUGCCUGCCAGUUUUAAUCAAAUAUAGAACUCAGCUUGAAGGCUGAAAUGGUGCUGUGGGGAAGUAGGGCUGGCUGUCUCCCAUUAAAGGCCUGCAAGCGUUUUUUU
rnacentral:lncRNA from 7 species